rnacentral:rRNA from 1 species
CGCGGGAUUAGAGUUUGAUCCUGGCUCAGAUUGAACGCUGGCGGCAGGCCUAACGCAUGCAAGUCGAGCGGUAACAGAGAUUAGCUUGCUAAUCUGCUGACGAGCGGCGGACGGGUGAGUAAUGCAUAGGAAGUUGCCCAGUAGAGGGGGAUACCAGUUGGAAACGACUGUUAAUACCGCAUAACCUCUUUGGAGCAAAGCAGGGGACCUUCGGGCCUUGCGCUACUGGAUACGCCUAUGUGGGAUUAGCUAGUUGGUGAGGUAAUGGCUCACCAAGGCGACGAUCCCUAGCUGGUCUGAGAGGAUGAUCAGCCACACUGGGACUGAGACACGGCCCAGACUCCUAAGGGAGGCAGCAGUGGGGAAUAUUGCACAAUGGGCGAAAGCCUGAUGCAGCCAUGCCGCGUGUAUGAAGAAGGCCUUCGGGUUGUAAAGUACUUUCAGUUGUGAGGAAGGUUGUGUAGUUAAUAGCUGCAUAAUUUGACGUUAGCAACAGAAGAAGCACCGGCUAACUCCGUGCCAGCAGCCGCGGUAAUACGGAGGGUGCGAGCGUUAAUCGGAAUUACUGGGCGUAUAGCGCAUGCAGGUGGUUUGUUAAGUCAGAUGUGAAAGCCCGGGGCUCAACCUCGGAAGGUCAUUUGAAACUGGCAAACUAGAGUACUGUAGAGGGGGGUAGAAUUUCA